UACGUAGGGUGCAAGCGUUAAUCGGAAUUACUGGGCGUAAAGCGUGCGCAGGCGGUUGUGCAAGACAGAUGUGAAAUCCCCGGGCUCAACCUGGGAAUGGCAUUUGGGACUGCAAGGCUUGAGUGCGGCAGAGGAGACUGGAAUUCCUGGUGUAGCAGUGAAAUGCGUAGAUAUCAGGAGGAACACCGAUGGCGAAGGCAGGUCUCUGGGCCACUACUGACGCUGAGAAGCGAAAGCAUGGGGAGCGAACAGG
rnacentral:rRNA from 1 species